AAAAGAGAUGCUCCUUUUAACUAAACAAUAAGCGAGCAAAUGAAAUGCGGACUCUUAUAUAAAGGGGGAGCAUCUUGAGCCGUCUCUAUAUGUAAAAAUAGCUUUGGACCUAACUGGUGUUUUCAAACAAAAUGAUUCUUGAAACUCUUUUUUUAAUCAUUGGUUUAACUGACUUGUACAAAAUAGGCAGUUAUGCGUUGACUUCAAAAAAAAUGCGACCCGAAAAACCGCUGCUGGAAGACUAUAAUUUAAAGCCUGAAGAAAUAAAUAGAAUCAAGAACUAUCUACAAUCAAUGCAUCAUUACAGUGACGAUCAAUCACCCCGGAUGAGAGAUCCAAGUAGUUACUGUCGCUCUUUCCGCACGUGUUAUGAAUGUGUGAAAAGCAUGUGGUUUCCAUGUGGCUGGUGUCACAACUAUGGAUGUACGGAUAACCCUGAAAAGCUGUGCCCUUACGCAGAAACUGUAGCUGAGAAAUCUAACUUGACUGGAGAAGUAAAGGCUUGUCCACACAUAUACCAUGACGGGCCAAUCACUGUACCUGCCGGUGUUCGAAUUGACUUAAAAGUCAAACUUUUUGCUCCCGAUCCCAUCAUAUACGAUAAGGAAAUUAUAUGUCAGAUCAAAGUUCAAGGAAAGUUGUCACACUUGAAAGGUCUCCUUUUAAAUAAUGUAGUUUAUUGCUAUCCUGUUGUGUUAAAUUCUGAUGCCACUCAAUACGGUGAUAGUGACGACGGUACACUAAGGCUGGUAUGGGGAGGUGCUCAGCCAUACUCUAAUGAACUUCCAUUAGAAGUGUACAAAUGUGAAAUUCUGGGUAUGGACUGUGAAUCUUGUAAGUUAAUACCAUCUGUGUAUGCAUGUGGUUGGUGUGAUCACACUUCAAAAUGUGUCAUUGCAGAGAAAUGUACUGAGGACAUGAGGAAAUGGGCUCUGAAUAAAUUGACUUGUGAACACUAUGGUGUGUUAUAAAGCUGAUUCUGAUCAUCGACUUUUGGCGCUGACUAUACAUGAAUUAAUAGCUUCAAAGAAGCCUAUAUGGUAUAAGUGUAUCAUAGAACUAUUACACCAGCAAAGGACAAUGUUAAGGCUUUUUAAAUUAGUCUGGAUAUUUUUUACACAUGUUAAGUUAACGAAACAGUAUGACACACAAUUGUCUCGAUUAGACUCAAUACAGCAUUACUGCACCUCAUUCAGCAGCUGUCAAGACUGCAAAGGAGCGGACUUGCACUGUGAAUGGUGCCAUGAAAUCGGGUGUACUCAUUACCCAUCUCUAUAUUGUCCGCAAAAAAUGUUCCUUGAUAAUGUGUGGCACAAGAAUUCCGAAGAAAGAUAUUGCACCGAAAUCGUAUCGAGCGAUCCUAUAUUCGUGCCAGCCAACAUAAGAAGGUUCAUCAAAUUAAAUUUAAAGAUAGACGACUUAACGCUUUACAAACGUCACAUUAUGUGUGAAAUACAUAUUGAGCAGACAGUUCUUCGAGUGAAAGGCUCAAUGGGUGAGAGUACAUUGUACUGUGAUAUGACGAUUUUAAGAAUAAUGCGAAACGUUGCCCUUGGAUACGUAAGACUUUUGUGGGGCGGCGCGGAGCCCUUCUCGAACAUGAUAUUAAUGGUCGUGUACCGAUGCGAGCUCAUGGCAAACAAAUGUAUGGAAUGUCAAGCGUUGGAUAAGCGAUUCAACUGCGGCUGGUGUGAAGAAACAUCACAAUGUAUUUUAUUGGAAGAGUGUCCGAGACAGGCGGGACCCUGGAUUGAUAAAAAAAGUUUAUGUAGCAAAUAUUACAGAGAUGUGUCGUAUCUAAACAAAAAAGAUAUGCGUCGAAUUAUACGAUACAGUACGUGGAAAUCGCAUAACAUAAAUCCAUAAAAAACUAAUAAGUGAAUGUUAGGUAUAAUGCUUAUAAUUAUAAUGGUUGUUAAUUUGCAAGUGUAUUAUUAUAACGUGUUUUCCAGAUGCGAGGACUAGAGUGGACUUGAUUUAGUGAAACAAAAUACGCAGAUUAUUCUGAUCGUGUGCUUACAUUUCAUUGUGCGUAAUGUUACAUUGCAAAUUGAAUAAGGUCCGCGGGUGCGAAGUAAUAAAAUUGAUAGUAUUUA